GAGUUUGAUCGUGGCUCAGAACGAACGCUGGCGGCAGGCUUAACACAUGCAAGUCGAACGCGUGUAGCAAUACACGAGUGGCGCACGGGUGAGUAACGCGUGGAUAUCUGCCUUUUGGUUCGGAAUAACCCCGGGAAACUGGGGCUAAUACCGGAUGGUUCCUUCGGGAUAAAGAUUUAUCGCCAAAAGAUGAGUCCGCGUACGAUUAGCUAGUUGGUGAGGUAAUGGCUCACCAAGGCGACGAUCGUUAGCUGGUCUGAGAGGAUGACCAGCCUCACUGGGACUGAGACACGGCCCAGACUCCUACGGGAGGCAGCAGUGGGGAAUAUUGGACAAUGGGCGCAAGCCUGAUCCAGCCAUGCCGCGUGGGUGAUGAAGGCCCUAGGGUUGUAAAGCCCUUUCAGCGGGGAAGAUAAUGACGGUACCCGCAGAAGAAGCCCCGGCUAACUUCGUGCCAGCCGCCG
rnacentral:rRNA from 1 species